rnacentral:rRNA from 1 species
AGAACGAACGCUGGCGGCAGGCUUAACACAUGCAAGUCGAACGGUUGUAGCAAUACAGCAGUGGCAGACGGGUGAGUAACACGUGGGAACCUUCCUAGGGGUACGGAACAACUCAGGGAAACUUGAGCUAAUACCGUAUACGUCCGUGAGGAGAAAGUUUUAACGCCCCUAGACGGGCCCGCGUUCGAUUAGCUGGUUGGUGGGGUAACGGCCUACCAAGGCGACGAUCGAUAGCUGGUCUCAGAGGAUGAUCAGCCAGACUGGGACUGAGACACGGCCCAGACUCCUACGGGAGGCAGCAGUUAGGAAUUUUGGGCAAUGGGCGCAAGCCUGACCCAGCAACGCCGCGUGGGUGACGAAGGCCUUCGGUUGUAAGCCUUUCUGGGGGAGAUGAUGACGGUACCCCAGGAAGAGCACCGGCAACUACGUGCCAGCAGCCGC